UACGUAGGUGGCAAGCGUUGUCCGGAUUUACUGGGCGUAAAGCGCGCGCAGGCGGAUUGGUCAGUCCGGGGUGAAAUCUCACGGCUCAACUGUGAGCGGUCCCCGGAUACUGCCAGUCUCGAGGUGUCUAGAGGAGAGCGGAAUUCCCGGUGUAGUGGUGGAAUGCGUAGAUAUCGGGAAGAACACCAGUGGCGAAGGCGGUUGCCUGGAGCUUUGCUGACGCUGAUGCGCGAAAGCGUGGGGAGCGAUCCGG
rnacentral:rRNA from 1 species